CCAGGAGCCAGAAUAGAGACCCAAAAGUCAAACUGCAAAAAUUAUUAAGUUCCCUCUGUAUGCAGAAUAUUGUGCAACAUGGUUAUGGGUACUACAGUGGAUGUGAGUGUGUAGACCUUGUACAAUAGAGCUUAUAGGCUAAUGAGAAGACAGGAAGAAACAACAGGAACACAUAUAGCUGGAAUGCAGAUGGGAUCUGUGCUACUUACGCUAGCCAUGGGAUGAUUAGAACAAGAUAAGAGACAUGAGGAAGACUUCUUCAAGGAGGUGCUCAAGCCAUGUUUUGGAAAAGAGAACUCAAGGUCUGGCAGGGAGAAAGGAGCAAGGGCAAGUAGAGCUGCAGCUGUCUGGCGCCACUGUAAUGCUGUCUCCUCCUCUGAGUGAGUUCAUCCUGGAAACAUUUUCUCCCAUAAGACAUGCACAGGUCUUACGUUUACAUGUUUCACUGAAAGAAAUUUGAUUCCACUGCUGGGAUGACAAGGAAGACUGAAGAAACCUAAUCCUAGGUGCUGCCACUGGGACAAACAAGAAGCACCAGACACAGUGCUGUUUUAGGGUGGGGCAGAAUUAUGCUGAGGGAAAAGUUAUUAUCACUCUUUAAGGCCAAGGAAACCACAAUUUUUAAAGAAGCUUCUAGAAAUUCUACCCAGUAGAAAAUAAAGAUAAACUUCUGUAAGGAAUUUCAUUCUUUUCAGAAUUCGCAAUCUGAAAUGUAGAAGCCCAUUCCUUCAUGGUUCUCAUAGAUAUUUAGUGUGACUGAGGGGUCAGUGGACUCAUAGCACUCAGGCCAGGCUUCUCCUGAGUCCCUUUCUUUGGCACAGAGGGAGUGAUUCACAGAUCCUCUACCCCCAAAGGCAUUGUUUCCUCAUCUCAACAAGAAUCCAGCACCCGUCAUUUUAUCAGCACACGUCACUAGCUUCUCAAGUGAGACUACUCUGAAGUGAUCUGUGUUUGAAGAAUGCCUUUCCCUUUCCCUUACGUAACUAAGAGGAUGAAAAAGGACACUCACUCCCUAUAUGAAAGCUGUGUAUUGUAAGCAGUCAUCUUGCCUGGCUGAGAACUCUAGGAUCUUUUUCUCUGCUCUCCUUUAGGCUGACACUCAUAGCCAGACCUUCUGUUUAUUAGCCCCCUGAAUCUAUUUGAAAAUAUUUUUGCUUUCAUUAUAAUAUAAGUCACAUUCUUCUUGCAUCUGCCGCUGCAUUUUCCAAAAGGGUUAUGUCAAGGGAAAUUCAACACUCACUUUUCUCAUUAUUUGCUUACCAGCUUGCUCACUCAUCAAAAUACCAGAGUUAUUUGAUACUUCAGAAGAUUAUUUCCCCCUUUAGAUGAUGUGUCAAGGGAAGGGGAGCUGGCCCCAGUAUCAGGUGACAGAAUUUUCUUCGCAUUUCUACUGUUGACUCAAUAAAUGCCCUUGGGCAAGUCAUGGAGCCUCUUCAUACUUUGGUCUCUAGGGAUAAAAUCUGCCAACCGCAGCAUGUGUAUUUGAACCUCAGUGUCCUCUGGAAUAAAAAUAGGAGGGGACCAGGUGUCCAUGUGACCCCAAGCUGAUGGGAAGAGGAUGACCAUAGGACUUCAAAAUGUCCUUGAGCUGUAAAUUCUGUAAUAGGGUCAGGCCCACCAGUGGCCUUCAGGCAUUUGUCCAGUGGUGUAUGGAUAAGUUCUAGCACUUGAGUUUUUUCAGCACAAAGGAGGCACUAUGUCAACCUCCCACCCAUGGGUAUUCUGUUUGCUCUGUGUCCCCGCUUCUCUGCAUUUCCCUGCCAUAUUACUCACCACUGGUCGUAAUUACUUGCUUGAUCACUUGUCUCCUGGUCUGUAAGCUGUUUGAGGGAGGGGAGCACAUCUGCCCUAUGCAACACUGUACCCUCAGUGUGGUACACAGGAGCACAUGCCUGACAUAUGGAAGUUAUGUGAGAAACAUUUGUGAAGUGGACAAAUUAAUAAUGCUGCCUGGACUCUAUAGAAAUCCCUUUUCUGCAUCAUUAAGGUUCCCAAGCCUGGCCAAGAAGUAGUGGGAUCUGAUUAGCCUCAUCUCCUCAUAACCCUACUUCCUAUAAUAUUAUAAUGAAAGCAGAUCUCAGCCCAAAUGCUGGCACACAUACAUAUUUAUCAGUAAGAAGAUCCAAAAUCGUUCAUGCAGCUGGUUCUGUAAGCUUGGCAAAUUUCCAGCCCUCUGAACUUUUCAGUGCUUUGUCCACACUCUACAUGAAAGGGCCUCUUAAGAGUGACAGGGCAGUAUUCUAAAGACCAGAUUUUAAUUGCACCAGGUAACUGAAUUGUCUGAAUUCACAGCUGAACACAGGACAAGGUCAGAAUCAUAUUUCUUAUGCCAUUUAGAAAGGUGACAAGUGAAGGGCUGGCCAAAAUCUUACACCCAGCUUACGUAAGAGUAGAGACUGUCCCUAAUGCUUUCCCCAGUCCACUUGUCUCGAACACCAUUAGGUUCAAUAGUAAAAGCCCAUUUCUCACUUGCUUCAUGUUAAUUGACUGAUCACUAAUUUUACCAAUAAGAAGCCAUUUUUAUUAUUUAUCAUUAUGAUUUUUAUCAUUUUGUUAAUUAGCCAAGCUUCUGCUGUUGACUCCAGAUAAAGAGAGUUAAAGCACUUGGGGUGACCACCUAAGUAGAUUUUUUCAUGGUGAACAAAUGGAAGCAACAGAAACAGCUCAGACUUUUGAAAAGUGAUGAAAAAGGCCCAUGAUGCCCUGCUCCUUGAAAAUGAAGAAGAGGAUGACUUAGCCCUGCAGGGCUCUUUUCUUUGCAUGUUCUUACCAACCCUCAGGGGAGAUUCAGUCUACUAGCUGGCUUCCCCACGUGGACCUCACUCUGUGGUCCUCUUCUCCCUGAAGGCUGUCACAGUUCCUGUGCAGAGAGAGAGGGCACUGCAGCACCCAGGCGCUGACUGCCUUUUGUCAGUCUCAUUUGCAGGCCCCCAGCUGGAGAACCCAGGAGGAAGAGGAAAAAAGUUUUUUCCUCCUCUACACUCCCCAUGCAUGACUAAAGAGUAGGAGGAGUCAGCAAGGCAGACAUAUAUAGUACCCAGGAGGUGGACAAACAACUGCCUUGGUGGAAACUCUGUCCUUUCUGGACUUAUCCUGGUGCCACUGAGACUGUGCAGGUCCCACACUUACAGGGAAAGCAUCACCCGAAAGUGAGAAUGCCUAGAGGCAGGAAUCAUGGAGGCUUCCUUAACCGUCUGUCUGCAACAGCAGGUGCUAGAGAUGACACUGCAGAGUAGAGAACAAAGGAAUCUUAGUAAUUGUUCAAUCCAAUCUCCACACUUUAAAGAUGAAGAAACUGGUAUUGAGAAAAAUACACAGCUUAUCCAAGGUUGCACUGCUGGUUGGUAGCUGAGAUGAAUUUAGAACCCACAUCUGAUGACUACACCAUAUUGCUCCCAGUUUUCCUGUCUGUUCCACAUGUAAAAGUCUGACUCUUCACUUCUCCUUUGAGUAUAUAGACUUUUAACAUUUUUGUAUGUCAAGAUGGACUUUUCCUCAUACCCAGCCCCUGCCUUUUCUCCUCCCUUCAUACCUUGCAGGAUCUUUAACAGAAUUUAAAAGGAGUUUUUUGUUUUGUUUUGAUGUAUCUAAUAAAAGUCAAGGGAGGGAGAGGGCCAGUAUAAGCAAGAGUACAGUUUCCUAGUUUGUAGAUGCGGUAGUCUGAGGAAUCAGAAACACACAAAGGUUUGGAGAACUGGUACAUGCUCCCAGGUGGGAAGCCAGGACUCUUGGUAGGAUCUUGAGGACAAGGCAAAGGACAAUAAGAGAGCGAGGGGAUCCUAGAGGUGGAAUCAAGGAAGAGAAACUAGAGAGAGAAAAAGGAACUGGCUAUCCAUCCAUGAUGGAUCCUGUGUGGACUGAUGGGUGGCUUGGCAUCAUCCUUUAGUAGACUUCAUGUGGUUGAAUAAUUGGCCAAUGGAAGGAAUUUCUUUUUUGGUAACAGACUCUGUGUGUACAGUUAUGGGUCUUAAUUUAUAAUAAAAGGUUACAUUGAAAAUUGAGCAUAUUGGCAACUUUGGGCUUUAAUAUUACUACUGUGCUAUUUAGGUCCCAACCAUCCUAGCUAAUCUGGGCAUUCUUGAAACAGCUCUCAUUAUUGGUAUGUCAAACCGUCUCAUAGGGCAUGUACUUAACAAAAGUGGAGUGAAGGGUUCAGGAUGCAUAAAUGGGGUGAAGCUCGUGGUAUUCCAUUCCUUUUUACUGAAGCCACUCCUACCAGCUGCCUUCUAGAUUGUUCACCUUAUAUGAGCAUGGUGCAGUAUAGAAGUUGUAGACUUUGGCCUCAGACAGAUCUAAAUUCUAAUCUCAGAUCACUACUUCCUGGUUGAGGACAAGAUUUCUUUAACCACCCCAAGUCCCAAUUUUCUCAUGUCUAAAAUGGCAGAAAUAAUGUGUACUUUGCAGGGUUGUUGUGAGAGUUAAGUAAUAUGGGUAAUGCACUUGGGACAGUGCUUCACACAAAAUUGUCAGUAAAUGGUGAUCUUUCUUUUCCUGGCACUACAAAGCUGAGGAGAGGAGGGAGGGAGGGAGAUGAAUGUCUGGAGGAAGAAAGGGCAGGAGUUUCUUCAUCUUUGAGUGAAGGAGCAUUGAGGGUUAGCAGGGAUAUAGGAAUAGUGAGUUGGCUGGGAAGAAAAAAAGGAUUAAAAGAGGAAAAGAAUAGGAAAAAAGAAGGAUACCAUGGAGAAAAUGGGCAACGGCCCCAGAAAGAAGAGCAAGAAUGGCAGUGAUGGUGAGCAUUGCUGGAAUGAUGGAAGGUUCUCCGGCCCCGGUGAUGCGUGGGCACCACCGGAGAGCUUGUUAGAAAUGCAGAGUCUCUGUCCCUCCCCAGACCCUCUGAAUCAUAAUUUGCAAUUUAAUGAGAGGUCCCCAGGUGAUUCCCAUAUCCAUUAAUUCUGCAGAGUUGAUGUUUUCAUCUGCG
rnacentral:lncRNA from 1 species